GGCUCUCCAGGUCUCCCUUUGUCAUUCUAGGGGAGUUCCCACAGGCAGGGGCUGUGCUCAGUGCUGGUGCGGCAGCAGGGCUGACACCUCCAGCAUCCUGAGAACUCAGCCACAUGGGGAUCUGCGGCAUCUCACGGCUCAGUGAAGCCACCUCAGCUCUGCAGCCUCCCUGACCACAUGUCCUCCAAUUAGGAUUUUUGUCCCUGAUUUGGGACUGCAGAGUUCCAUGUAGCGAGGGCCUCUGAUUGAGAUUGUACCCCGACGUUUCUGCAAUCUUGAUGGCUAGAAGAGAGAAGCCCUCACCAUGGUAAAGCUGCCAGCACGCUUCUGACUCAUGUUUUGGGGGAAGACACAAAUGGGUCUUUGGUUUUGCAGUAGUAACAGCAGGGUUCUCUUCUGGCAUGGAGGAGUCUGAGGCAUAACCAUGUAAUGGGUUGUCUUCACUGUGGGCAGAAAUUCAUGGGGAGAGGAUUUCAGUUGUUUGGUAAAGAGGCUGACACCAGGUUGAGCCCAGAGAAAGCUGAGAAUAAGGGUCCUAGACUCAGUGACACAUCCAAACCCCUGACCCCGCUACAGGGAGAGGCAGGCCUGUGGUCCAACAUCAGGGGCUCUGAUGCAAGGGAGAAGACCCCUUAGCAGGGCCCAGCCCAAGGACCACAGGAGCUCUGCAUUCCAGGAUCCAGUUUUGAUGCUUGUCCAUUCCACUGUAGGAUUCCUGCUCAGACCUUUAGUAGUUUUGCUCAGCUUUCCUCUUUUAUCCUAGCCUUGACUGUGCUUUGAGGAAGCACCUGUAUCCAUGGGGUGGCCAUGGUGAGUGUGGCUGCAGCCUGCAGAAGCUAGUUACAGGGAGAUAGGAGAUGACAUGCAGGGAAUGAUGGGGUGAUUUAAGGCGAGAUAUGGGCCUGGUGCCAACCAGAAUGGAUUUGUGGGACAUAGGAGCAUCACUGGGCAUUUCCAAGAACAUUGAGGGGAGGUAAUCCUGGUGAACAGUGCAUAGGAUGCUCCAUGGAUAACAAGGGCAGGCUGGAGACCUUGGCACCUUGAGGGGAGAAUGAGCCACACAGACCCUGCAGGAGAUGGAUCAAAGACAAGUGAGCCAGCUAAGCAGGUCAGGGCUCCUUAGUCCCCUGGAGGUCCUCUGGCCCCUCCGUCACUCAGCAGGGAAAGGCAUUCCUCUGAGGUUGUUCCUUGCCCCUCAUUGCACGGGCUUUGCUGACCACCAGCCCCGACUUGGUCCAGCCCACUGCAUUCUGCUACAUCCUGCCCACUCCCUGUGGCUUCCACUGGCUGCACGA
rnacentral:lncRNA from 1 species